rnacentral:rRNA from 1 species
GUUUCAGCCGCCGCGGUAAUACGUAGGGUGCGAGCGUUAAUCGGAAUUACUGGGCGUAAAGCGUGCGCAGGCGGUUUUGUAAGCCAGAUGUGAAAUCCCCGGGCUUAACCUGGGAAUGGCAUUUGGGACUGCAAGGCUGGAGUUUGGCAGAGGAGACUGGAAUUCCUGGUGUAGCAGUGAAAUGCGUAGAUAUCAGGAGGAACACCGAUGGCGAAGGCAGGUCUCUGGGCUGAAACUGACGCUCAUGCACGAAAGCGUGGGGAGCAAACAGGAUUAGAUACCCUUGUAGUCC